GGGUGAGUAACGCGUAAGGAACUUGCCUCUUGGACUGGGAAAACUGUUGGAAACGACAGCUAAUACCGGAUAUUAUGAGAUUCUCGCAUGAGAAACUUAUGAAAGCUAUAUGCGCCAAGAGAGAGCCUUGCGUUCCAUUAGCUAGUUGGUGGGGUAACGGCCCACCAAGGCGACGAUGGAUAGCCGGCCUGAGAGGGUGAACGGCCACAAGGGGACUGAGACACGGCCCUUACUCCUACGGGAGGCAGCAGUGGGGAAUAUUGGACAAUGGGCCACAAGCCUGAUCCAGCAAUUCUGUGUGCACGAUGAAGGUCUUCGGAUUGUAAAGUGCUUUCAGUUGGGAAGAAGAAAGUGACGGUACCAACAGAAGAAGCGACGGCUAAAUACGUGCCAGCAGCCGCGGUAAUACGUAUGUCGCAAGCGUUAUCCGGAUUUAUUGGGCGUAAAGCGCGUCUAGGCGGAAAAAUAAGUCUGAUGUUAAAAUGCGGGGCUCAACUCCGUAUUGCGUUGGAAACUGUUUUUCUAGAGUACUGGAGAGGUGGGCGGAACUACAAGUGUAGAGGUGAAAUUCGUAGAUAUUUGUAG
rnacentral:rRNA from 1 species